rnacentral:rRNA from 1 species
GGCAGGUACAGAGGGAUGCUACCGGGCGACCGGAUGCGGAUCUCGAAAGCCUGUCCCAGUUCGGACUGGAGUCUGCAACCCGACUCCACGAAGUUGGAUUCGCUAGUAAUCGCGCAUCAGCCAUGGCGCGGUGAAUACGUUCUCGGGCCUUGUACACACCGCCCGUCAAGCCAUGGGAGCCGGGGGCGCCUGAAGUCCGGGACCGCGAGGACCGGCCUAGGGCGAAACUGGUAACUGGGGCUAAGUCGUAACAAGGUACC